ACAGGGAUUACCUCAGUAACGGCGAGUGAAGCGGUAACAGCUCAAAUUUGAAAUCUGGCUCUUUUAGGGUCCGAGUUGUAAUUUGUAGAAGAUGCUUUGGGUGUGGCUCCGGUCUAAGUUCCUUGGAACAGGACGUCAUAGAGGGUGAGAAUCCCGUAUGUGACUGGCUGCCUUCGCCUAUGUAAAGCUCUUUCGACGAGUCGAGUUGUUUGGGAAUGCAGCUCUAAAUGGGAGGUAUAUUUCUUCUAAAGCUAAAUAUUGGCCAGAGACCGAUAGCGCACAAGUAGAGUGAUCGAAAGAUGAAAAGCACUUUGGAAAGAGAGUUAAACAGUACGUGAAAUUGUUGAAAGGGAAGCGCUUGCAACCAGACUUGCACGCCGUCGAUCAUCCUGGGUUCUCCCUGGUGCACUCGGCGGCGUUCAGGCCAGCAUCGGUUUCGGUGGUUGGAUAAAGGCCUUGGGAAUGUAGCUCCUCUCGGGGAGUGUUAUAGCCCUCGGUGCAAUGCAGCCUACCGGGACCGAGGACCGCGCUUCGGCUAGGAUGCUGGCGUAAUGGUUGUAAGCGACCCGUCUUGAAACACGGACCAAGGAGUCUAACAUCUAUGCGAGUGUUUGGGUGUUAAACCCAUACGCGUAAUUAACGUGAACGGAGGUGAGAACCCUUUAGGGUGCAUCAUCGACCGAUCCUGAUGUCUUCGGAUGGAUUUGAGUAAGAGCAUAGCUGUUGGGACCCGAAAGAUGGUGAACUAUGCCUAAAUAGGGUGAAGCCAGAGGAAACUCUGGUGGAGGCUCGCAGCGGUUCUGACGUGCAAAUCGAUCGUCAAAUUUGGGUAUAGGGGCGAAAGACUAAUCGAACCAU
rnacentral:rRNA from 1 species